rnacentral:rRNA from 1 species
GGGACACGUGGUAUCCUGUCUGAAUAUGGGGGGACCAUCCUCCAAGGCUAAAUACUCCUGACUGACCGAUAGUGAACCAGUACCGUGAGGGAAAGGCGAAAAGAACCCCGGCGAGGGGAGUGAAAAAGAACCUGAAACCGUGUACGUACAAGCAGUGGGAGCACGCUUAGGCGUGUGACUGCGUACCUUUUGUAUAAUGGGUCAGCGACUUAUAUUCUGUAGCAAGGUUAACCGAAUAGGGGAGCCGAAGGGAAACCGAGUCUUAACUGGGCGUUAAGUUGCAGGGUAUAGACCCGAAACCCGGUGAUCUAGCCAUGGGCAGGUUGAAGGUUGGGUAACACUAACUGGAGGACCGAACCGACUAAUGUUGAAAAAUUAGCGGAUGACUUGUGGCUGGGGGUGAAAGGCCAAUCAAACCGGGAGAUAGCUGGUUCUCCCCGAAAGCUAUUUAGGUAGCGCCUCGUGAAUUCAUCUCCGGGGGUAGAGCACUGUUUCGGCAAGGGGGUCAUCCCGACUUACCAACCCGAUGCAAACUGCGAAUACCGGAGAAUGUUAUCACGGGAGACACACGGCGGGUGCUAACGUCCGUCGUGAAGAGGGAAACAACCCAGACCGCCAGCUAAGGUCCCAAAGUCAUGGUUAAGUGGGAAACGAUGUGGGAAGGCCCAGACAGCCAGGAUGUUGGCUUAGAAGCAGCCAUCAUUUAAAGAAAGCGUAAUAGCUCACUGGUCGAGUCGGCCUGCGCGGAAGAUGUAACGGGGCUAAACCAUGCACCGAAGCUGCGGCAGCGACACUAUGUGUUGUUGGGUAGGGGAGCGUUCUGUAAGCC